UGGCGCCGGCGUCGCCAUUAGGCUCCCCUUUGAAAAGCUCCGCCUCUGCAGCAUGUUGGCGAGCCAGCUCGGAUCAGACAACACUCGGCAAUUCAUCACUUUCAGGAACUGUGAAGUGUGUGUAAGAAAUAACUUGAAGCGAGCCCACCGGGCCUCUUGUUUGGAGACGUGAGCACGACAAAGUGAGAACAGGCGCCAAGGAAUACUUGAAGAAAAAGUGAAGCUCCGGUCGGCGCCGCUGCAUCUGUUGGUGCCGCCCGCGGGAGCACAGCUGGGCUUUCGGCCUUGGCGGGACAAUGCAGACGAGCGCGGGACGACCCAUCGCUUCUGCUUUCAUAAGCCGCACGUGGAGGACGGUCGCUCGUGUUGUGCACCGGUGCGAAUGUUUGCCGACUCCCUGAUGCUACUCUUGCAAUGCAAUCAGCAUUAUUGAUUUUAUUUUACCUACAGCAUGUUAGCGCUUUAGGAAAAUCACACACACUUCAUACGUGUGGUAAGUAGAGGUGCAACAAUGAAUUGAUUCAUUGAUAACUCAUCCAUUGUCACGUGAAUCGGCGACUAUUUUAAUUACCAUAUUUUCUGCACUAUAAGGUGCUUUGGAG